AGCGAACGCUGGCGGCAGGCCUAACACAUGCAAGUCGAACGGACCCUUCGGGGUUAGUGGCGGACGGGUGAGUAACACGUGGGAACGUGCCUUUAGGUUCGGAAUAGCUCCUGGAAACGGGUGGUAAUGCCGAAUGUGCCCUUUGGGGGAAAGAUUUAUCGCCUUUAGAGCGGCCCGCGUCUGAUUAGCUAGUUGGUGAGGUAAUGGCUCACCAAGGCGACGAUCAGUAGCUGGUCUGAGAGGAUGACCAGCCACAUUGGGACUGAGACACGGCCCAAACUCCUACGGGAGGCAGCAGUGGGGAAUCUUGCGCAAUGGGCGGAAGCCUGACGCAGCCAUGCCGCGUGGAUGAUGAAGGUCUUAGGAUUGUAAAAUCCUUUCACCGGUGAAGAUAAUGACUGUAGCCGGAGAAGAAGCCCCGGCUAACUUCGUGCCAGCAGCCGCCGUAACAC
rnacentral:rRNA from 1 species